UACAGGGGGGGCAAGCGUUUGUUCGGAAUUACUGGGCGUAAAGGGCUUGUAGGUGGCCAACUAAGUCACACGUGAAAUCCCCAGGCUUAACCUGGGAACUGCGUGUGAUACUGGAUGGCUUGAAUCCGGGAGAGGGAUGCGGAAUUCCAGGUGUAGCGGUGAAAUGCGUAGAUAUCUGGAGGAACACCGGUGGCGAAGGCGGCUCUCUGGAACGCAACUGACGCUGAGACGCGAAAGCGUGGGGAGCAAACAGG
rnacentral:rRNA from 1 species